rnacentral:rRNA from 1 species
UACGAAGGGGGCUAGCGUUGCUCGGAAUCACUGGGCGUAAAGGGUGCGUAGGCGGGUCUUUAAGUCAGGGGUGAAAUCCUGGAGCUCAACUCCAGAACUGCCUUUGAUACUGAAGAUCUUGAGUUCGGGAGAGGUGAGUGGAACUGCGAGUGUAGAGGUGAAAUUCGUAGAUAUUCGCAAGAACACCAGUGGCGAAGGCGGCUCACUGGCCCGAUACUGACGCUGAGGCGCGAAAGCAUGGGUAGCGAACAGG